UUACGCACUCCUACGGGAGGCAGCAGUGGGGAAUAUUGCACAAUGGGCGCAAGCCUGAUGCAGCCAUGCCGCGUGUAUGAAGAAGGCCUUCGGGUGUAAAGUACUUUCAGCAGUGAGGAAGGUGGGUAUGUUAAUAGCAUACUCAUUUGACGUUAGCUGCAGAAGAAGCACCGGCUAACUCCGUGCCAGCAGCCGCGGUAAUACGGAGGGUGCGAGCGUUAAUCGGAAUUACUGGGCGUAAAGCGCAUGCAGGUGGUUUGUUAAGUCAGAUGUGAAAGCCCGGGGCUCAACCUCGGAAUUGCAUUUGAAACUGGCAAACUAGAGUACUGUAGAGGGGGUAGAAUUUCAGGUGUAGCGGUGAAAUGCGUAGAGAUCUGAAGGAAUACCGGUGGCGAAGGCGGCCCCCUGGACAGAUACUGACACUCAGAUGCGAAAGCGUGGGGAGCAAACAGGAUUAGAUACCCUGGUAG
rnacentral:rRNA from 1 species